rnacentral:lncRNA from 1 species
UUAGAAGUGAUUUAGAAAGGUGAAAGAAAAAUAAGAGAGGAGAGAAAGCAAGCCAAUUUAAAUCCUUUGGAAGGAUUCAGCAUUAAGGAUCAAAAAUCUUUGGAGCUAAAGUCUUGAUCGAGUUUCCGUGUGGAUCACUGUUGGAGGGCGGACACUUGGACGCCUCGUGGAGAUUCUACAAACUUGGAUUUAGCAUUACAGGAUUCUUCUAUUUCAGCAUUUAUAUUUAUAUUGUUUGAUUGUUACCAUUAAGGUAAUCUAGGCUUAUAAGAGUUUCAUGUUAAGGAACUUUAUUAAGAAAUUUUUAAAAUUCCUAGCUUCCGCUGCGCAUCAUGACAUGAUCGGAACCCUACAUGGGAGGGGGUCGGUGGGGGAUUGGGAUGGGAGGGGUCGGAGGGGGGGAGGGGGCUAUGGUGGGAUUGGCGGAGGAAGAGGAGAGGAAGGUGGGGGGAGGGGAGGAGGAGGGGAGGGGGUAGGGGUCGUCGUUGGUGUCGUUGAGGUUGUUGGUGUCAAAGCCCUCGAAGUCGGCGACAGCGAGGGGGGAGUGGUUCGGAGUUCGUGGGAGGGAGAGGAUGGAGAGGAGGGGGAAGGGGAAAUUUACUAAUUUUAUAGUGUAUUUUAUAUAUUAUGUAUAUUAUAUAUAUUAUAUAAAAUUCGGCUCAAGUCGAGCUUGGGCCAGGUCAAUGCAAUCUAGCAGGGAGUCCAUCCAGAGUUAAGGAGGCAUGUUGUCUGAUGGGACAGCUCUUACAUCAAUUGGAGAGGAGGGAUAAGGCAAGGAUUCUGCUGGGUUUAGGGUGUUCAAUAUUUAUUCACAAG